rnacentral:rRNA from 1 species
GACGAACGCUGGCGGCGUGCUUAACACAUGCAAGUCGAACGAGACGAUUGAAAGCUUGCUUUCGAAAGUCGAGUGGCAAACGGGUGAGUAACGCGUAGACAACCUGCCUUUGAGAUGGGGACAACAGUUCGAAAGGACUGCUAAUACCGAAUGUUGUGUAUUUUCCACAUGGAAGAUAUAUUAAAGAUGGCCUCUAUUUAUAAGCUAUCGCUCAAAGAUGGGUCUGCGUCUGAUUAGCUGGUUGGUGGGGUAACGGCCUACCAAGGCGACGAUCAGUAGCCGGUCUGAGAGGAUGAACGGCCACAUUGGGACUGAGACACGGCCCAGACUCCUACGGGAGGCAGCAGUGGGGAAUCUUCCACAAUGGACGAAAGUCUGAUGGAGCAGCGCCGCGUGAGUGAAGAAGGGUUUCGGCUCGUAAAGCUCUGUUGUCGGGGACGAAUGUGCAGUAUUUGAAUAAAGUACUGCAAUGACGGUACCUGACGAGGAAGCCACGGCUAACUACGUGCCAGCCGCCGCCGUAA